rnacentral:rRNA from 1 species
AGCCUGAUCCAGCCAUGCCGCGUGUGUGAUGAAGGUCUUCGGAUUGUAAAGCACUUUUGGUUGGGAAGAAGGGCAGUAAGUUAAUACCUUGCUGUUUUGACGUUACCUACAGAAUAAGCACCGGCUAACUUCGUGCCAGCAGCCGCGGUAAUA